rnacentral:rRNA from 1 species
UACGUAGGUGGCAAGCGUUAUACGGAAUUAUUGGGCGUAAAGCGCGCGCAGGUGGUUUCUUAAGUCUGAUGUGAAAGCCCACGGCUCAACCGUGGAGGGUCAUUGGAAACUGGGAGACUUGAGUGCAGGAGAGGAAAGUGGAAUUCCAAGUGUAGCGGUGAAAUGCGUAGAGAUUUGGAGGAACACCAGUGGCGAAGGCGACUUUCUGGCCUGUAACUGACACUGAGGAGCGAAAGCGUGGGGAGCAAACAGG